rnacentral:pre_miRNA from 1 species
ACAACAUUCGGACCGUCGGUCUACCGAGCAAUAUCAUCCGCUCGGUGGAAGAUCUCCUCUCCGUCGU